AUUGAACGCUGGCGGCAGGCCUAACACAUGCAAGUCGAGCGGAUGAAGGGAGCUUGCUCCUGGAUUCAGCGGCGGACGGGUGAGUAAUGCCUAGGAAUCUGCCUGGUAGUGGGGGAUAACGUCCGGAAACGGGCGCUAAUACCGCAUACGUCCUGAGGGUGAAAGUGGGGGAUCUUCGGACCUCACGCUAUCAGAUGAGCCUAGGUCGGAUUAGCCAGUUGGUGGGGUAAAGGCCUACCAAGGCGACGAUCCGUAACUGGUCUGAGAGGAUGAUCAGUCACACUGGAACGGAGACACGGUCCAGAGUCCUACGGGAGGCAGCAGUGGGGAAUAUUGGACAAUGGGCGAAAGCCUGAUCCAGCCAUGCCGCGUGUGUGAAGAAGGUCUUCGGAUUGUAAAGCACUUUAAGUUGGGAGGAAGGGCAGUAAGUUAAUACCUUGCUGUUUUGACGUUACCAACAGAAUAAGCACCGGCUAACUUCGUG
rnacentral:rRNA from 1 species